rnacentral:rRNA from 1 species
UACGUAGGUGGCAAGCGUUAUCCGGAAUUACUGGGCGUAAAGCGCACGCAGGCGGUCUUGUAAGUUUGACGUGAAAGCUCCCGGCUUAACUGGGAGAGGUCGUUGAAUACUGCGAGACUUGAGUUUAGGAGAGGGGUGUAGAAUUCCCGGUGUAGUGGUGGAAUGCGUAGAUAUCGGGGGGGAAUACCAGUGGCGAAAGCGGCACCCUAGCCUUUGACUGACGCUCAUGUGCGAAAGCGUGGGGGAGCAAACAGG